rnacentral:tRNA from 1 species
CCGUCGAUAGCUCAGUUGGCAGAGCGGUGGACUGUAGAUCCAUAGGUCGCUGGUUUGACUCCGGCUCGACGGA